GUGGGGAAUAUUGGACAAUGGGCGCAAGCCUGAUCCAGCAAUGCCGCGUGGGUGAAGAAGGUCUUCGGAUCGUAAAGCCCUUUCGACAGGGACGAUGAUGACGGUACCUGUAGAAGAAGCCCCGGCUAACUUCGUGCCAGCAGCCGCGGUAAUACGAAGGGGGCUAGCGUUACUCGGAAUUACUGGGCGUAAAGGGCGCGUAGGCGGCUCUGUUAGUCAGGCGUGAAAUUCCUGGGCUUAACCUGGGGACUGCGCUUGAUACUGCAGGGCUUGAGGCCGAGAGAGGGUGGUGGAAUUCCCAGUGUAGAGGUGAAAUUCGUAGAUAUUAGGAGGAACACCAGUGGCGAAGGCGACUUUCUGGACUGUAACUGACGCUGAGGCUCGAAAGCCAGGGGAGCGAACGGGAUUAGAUACCCGGGUAGUCC
rnacentral:rRNA from 1 species